CAAUAGCAUAUAUUAACGUUGUUGCAGUUGAAAAGCUCGUAGUUGAACUUUUGGUAGGAGCGACCUGGCCUUGGGCGCAUGCCCUUGUUUGCCGUGUGUCGUGUCUGGCCAUCCUUUUCCGCUUCGGCGGGAAUCUUUUACUGUGGGUAAACUGGAGUGCUCAAAACAAGACGUUUGUUUGGUACAUUAAAGCAUGGAAUAAUAAGAUAGGACCUGGUUACUAUUUUGUUGGUUUGCAUAGCUAGGUAAUGAUUAACAGGGACAGUUGGGGGUAUUCGUAUUUAAUUGUCAGAGGUGAAAUUCUUGGAUUUAUGAAAGACGAACGACUGCGAAAGCAUUUACCAAGGAUGUUUUCAUUAA
rnacentral:rRNA from 1 species